CCUACGGGUGGCAGCAGUGAGGAAUAUUGGUCAAUGGGCGCGAGCCUGAACCAGCCAAGUCGCGUGAGGGAAGACGGUCCUAUGGAUUGUAAACCUCUUUUGUCGGGGAGCAAAAGACGCCACUCGUGGCGUUCCGCGAGUACCCGAAGAAAAAGCAUCGGCGAACCCCGGGUCAUCAGCCGCGGUAAUACGGGGGAUACGAGCGUUACCCGGAUUUAUUGGGUUUAACGGGUGUGCAGGGGGAAGUUAUAGUCAGCGGUAAAAUUGAGUGGCUCAACCUCGUCGAGCCGUUGAAACUGGUUUUCUUGAGUGAGUGAGAAGGAUGCGGAAUGCGUGGUGUAGCGGUGAAAUGCAUAGAGAUCACGCAGAACUCCGAUUGCGAAGGCAGCAUACCGGCGCUCAACUGACGCUCAGGCACGAAAGUGUGGGUAUCGAACAGGAUUAGAUACCCCGGUAGUC
rnacentral:rRNA from 1 species